AUCUAAUUGGUCAAGACAACAUUUGAGGUGUGGCCGAAAGGCCAGUUUAAAUACUCAGGACACCAUCAAAAUUAGGCUUUUAGUUUUAGCUCUUAGCUUUUAGCCAUGCUUUUUUUCAUUACAUUUUGCGUUCUUUGAGCUAUGUUCCAGCGUGCUUGGACCUGCACGUCUGCUGCUACUUAGCCACGAUGAGAAGAAACACCACUUAAGCUGUGUUCCAAAGUUGAGUGUGCACACUUCGAAGGCCAAGGACUUCGAAAACCAGGCCUCCGAAGUGCGUGAGAUGCUCCGCCUUUGCAGGAUUUCCUAAUUUCGCCACCAGGUGUUUCCAAUUACUGCUCUGUUAGAUAGCAACGGUGCGAGAGGAGAGCUGACGAGAGGACAAUCCUGCCAGUAUAGGUGGAGCCAGAAUUGCUAAUUUUUGUUUUUAGGUUUUACGUCUUAAUGGAGGAGACGUGAUGUACCUCAGGCUUAGCCAAUACCGAGGCCAGACCAGACCCCUGUACUGCAGGAUAAAGCUGAAUGUGGCAGCGCUGGACAGGUUUUUAAUGGUUUUGUUCUGAGCAGCGAGGCCCUGAAAGUGCUGCUUGAUCUUCAGAGCAGUGCCACAAUCCAGACCCUGGUGUUUUUCUUCUGUCUGCCAGUGGUACAUCAUACAGAGUGGUCUCCAGAGUGUUUGACAUGUGCCUCGUUCCACUGUCCACCACACUGUCCUCCGAGUCGCUGAGGAGGUGCUGGUCAUUCACCAAGAGAUUGACCUCCUGAAGACCCCAGAACACAUGGAGGCAGGGCUGGGCUUAACCCUCUGAAGUUGAUUAACGCGUAUACGCGUUUUGGGGUAUUUUCUCCUGAUAACCCCGAAAAGAACUUAAAUUACACUUUCAGUUUUGAUCGUACAGAUAAGAGCAAUACAUCAAUCGAAUCUGUAAAGGGUCUACUUUUUUUUGUUUACAGACAUAAUAACAACAAAACUUUGUGCACUUAUAAAAUAAAGAUAACAAACCAGGAGUGCUG
ensembl:lncRNA